CCUACUUUGCAUAAUGCACAACAGGAGAUCUAUGUGGCCAGAGUGGAGGAACCCUUGGCUUUGAGGAACAAAUCAACAAAUAUAUGGAACUUGCAAAAUACUUCUAUAAGGUUUUAAAGAAAAAAGAUAACUUUAAGCUUGUGUUUGAUGCAGAGGCUUAAACAUAUUCCAAAAGGUUUUGAAAGAGAUCAAGAACUCCGAAAGAUUGCUCCAAAGAUUAAAGCACAGAUGAUGAUGGAAGGCACAAUCAUGAUAAGCUACCAGCCAUGUGGAGACAAAGUAAUGUGAAUGCCUUCACUUGGAUGUGCCUCCUAUUACUGAAGAACCCCUCAUGAUGUGUCCUUGUGUCAUUCAGCACUUCCACAGACCUCUUUGGAAGUCUCAGCUGCUUUCCCCGCACCACACUAGGGGUGCUGGUUUUAAAACCAAGAUUUAAAACAUAACAAAAUACACAACAGCUUUGGUUUUUGGGC
rnacentral:lncRNA from 10 species